rnacentral:lncRNA from 10 species
GAUACAGCCCUGAAAAGACCAACAUGAUUUAAACCCACGUGGAGCUUCUUGGGACCUACAUUAACCACAUAGUGGGGCAGAAGAGACGCUGCACACGUCUAGAGCUUAUACCUUGAAAAACUUUGCAGCUUCCAUUUUCACUCUUUUGGAACUCUGCCCCAAGACCACCACACCAGAAGAAACUCUGAAAGAAAACCCACAGAAUGAGAGAGACUUAGCCACCUGGCUGUCCCGGCUGAGCCUUCAGCCACGUGCAGCUUCAUGAGCAAACCCAGCCUGGAUUCCAUCCCCACUGAAAACUCCUUCCAAUGCCCAGCACUACUGAAUCUCUGCUUCCUAAAGUAACAACAUCUCCAGAUUGACGCACACAGUUAGGGGUCUAACCACCCAAGAGUAAUCAUGGGCAAUCCUGGGAUGGCACUUUCUUCCCUUCAAGUGGUCACUGGAGUUGGCCAAGGUCAAAAGUUAACCAAGUGUUCCAGCAGCCUGGGGGUUGUGGUGAAUUACGUGAGUGCCCUGCUUUCCUUUGAACCCUCCGAUUCUCUGCAAUUGCAAUAAUUUAGGGGUGCGGAUAUUCUAAUUAGGCCAUGUGAAAUUUAAUUUCAUAGUGGUGAAAUUUGCAAGGUCUUCUAAAU